UCGCCCACAGCCUUUCUCCUCAGUUUGUCUUGUUUUGGUAGAUAUUAUACUGUUACAUUGAGGCUCUGUCUGUGACACUCCCUAAUGGUGCAACAGAGAACUGUCUGUGACACUCCCUAAUGGUGCAACAGAGAACUGUCUGUGACACUCCCUAAUGGUGCAACAGAGAACUGUCUGUGACACUCCCUAAUGGUGCAACAGAGAACUGUCUGUGACACUCCCUAAUGGUGCAACAGAGAACUGUCUGUGACACUCCCUAAUGGUGCAACAGAGAACUGUCUGUGACACUCCCUAAUGGUGCAACAGAGAACUGUCUGUGACACUCCCUAAUGGUGCAACAGAGAACUAACUGUCUGUGACACUCCCUAAUGGUGCAACAGAGAACUAACUGUCUGUGACACUCCCUAAUGGUGCAACAGAGAACUG